AUUGAACGCUGGCGGCAGGCCUAACACAUGCAAGUCGAGCGAGCGGCGGACGGGUGAGUAAUGUAUGGGGACUGCCCGAUAGAGGGGGGUAACUACUGGAAACGGUAGCUAAUACCCCCUACUCUCGCAUUACCCAUAGGGGAUUAUCUCGUAGGUGAGGUAAUGGCUCACCUAGGCGACGAUCCCUAGCUGGUCUGCGAGGAUGAUCAGCAACACUGGGCCUGCGACACGGCCCAGACUCCUACGGAGGCAGAAGAGGGGAAUAUUGCACAAUGGGCGAAAGCCGGAUGCAGAAAUGCCGCGGGUAUGAAGAAGGCCUUCGGGUUGUAAAGUAUGUUUGGAAGAGAAGCGGUAUCUGCAGAAUAAGCACCGGCUAACUACGUGCCAGCAGCCGCGGUAAUAC
rnacentral:rRNA from 1 species